AGAGACAUAAACUACAUCCUGAAGAGAACCAGGUCCUGAGAUCUGACUGAGGAGGAGUCCAGAGAGAGCACAGCAGGCAGCAGGUCAGAGUGUUAUUCUUUGUUUUGUCCACUAGAUGGAGACAGAACAUCAGUGAUGAGGCUUCAGCUGGAACACGAUAAACCUGUGAAGAUCUGUGGUCGACCACUUCGCUCAUCUUCACAGCCUCUGAAGUGAAGAUGUGAGGAUGCAGACUGCAGGAAGACCUCAGAGUCUGCACCACGUUUUUACAUUUUAGAUUUUACUCCAGAGCCAAGAAAGGUCAGGAGUCCUCAGAGGAGCUGGAAGAAAACAGGAGAGAAAUGACCUUCAGACUGAAAGAGACACAAAGUGACCACAAACAACUCGACUGGCUCCUCUGCCUAUAACUCAGCUAUUCUAAGAUCUGCAUCUGCUGCCGUCACCUUCACUCCUUCAUAAGAAAAACAAAGUGCAUUAAAAACCUGAUGAACCAACAAACUCGGCUGUGAUGUUCAGUUCAGGAUCCAACAGCUUUUUAAAAACCAGACAGAUGAAUUAAGAUGGUCCUCAGAGUUUACAGAUAUUUACACAGUGGAAACUGUCAAACUGUGAAGAGCAACAACAAAACCAUUCGUCAUCAGCAUGGAAAUAAUCUGAUGCUGUGGAGAGACAGGAACCUGAAAUCCUCUUCAUGUUCUCUGCAGCUCUGAUGUCUGUGUGAUGUCAGAUUAGAUGUAAUCUGUUCUUCAUCAUCACUUCUGCACAGAACCGUCUUAAGAACCUGAAAUAAACAGUUUGAAGAAGCUGAGGUUCUUCUCUGAUCAGAUGAGUCUGUAAAAUCUCUGGGUGUGAGUCAGCUGUGUUUGUUCCUGUUGUAGACACAGUGUGUUUGAUAUAUGAGCUGAUUGACUGUGACCACUUAAAAAUCCUGUCUGAGCAUCAUAAACCAGUGCAGUGCUUCAGCCUCCACAGAGCUGCGUCUUUGACUGUGGAGACUUCAGUUAACGUAGAGAUAAAGCAGCGUCUGUCUGAUCACCUGCUGCCGACAGUCUCUCUGACAGCAGCUUCAGUCUUUCUCCAGGUUUUGUUUCUGUCUCUGUUUGUUGGUGAACAUGUUGCCUGACAAACAGUUUCUCUCUGCUCACAAACUGGAAACUGUGAAGACAAAGCGUCUGGCGUGUCUUUGACCUUUAAUGAUUUCACUUAAAUUCUCCUGUUCUCUCUCGUCCCCAGUCAGUUUCAUCUCUGUAUCCACCACUCCUAGCUUAGCACAGUGACUGGAAGCAGGGGAAACUGUUAGCCUAGCUUAGCAUGCUGACUGGAAGCAGGGGAAACUGGAGGAGUAAACUCAGCUGUAAUUAAAUGAAUCUUUGUUUUAAGGAGGAGCAGAGCUGAUUCUGAAACUGUCUCACCUCUGACAAACUGAAACCCUCAGUUUAACUUCAUCCUGCUGGUCUGAUUGGUGGUUUGAUAAUAAUGAUGUAAUGAAGGUAAUUCUGAGGGGUUUUCAUUGUGUUGUUUGCCAGAUAGCAUGAAAGCUUCCAUUACUUUAAACCUUUAGAACAGUUUGUUACCACCUGAGGUUUAUUUUUGUGGAUGUGUCUGAAGUUUUAUUUUGAAAAUCUCUUCCUGCAGAGAGAAGCUGGAGGUUUUCUCCCUCAUCAUCUGGUCACAGCAGCAUCUAGUGGACGUCAGAGAAACUGCAGCUCUGAGGCUGCUGGUCGGGCAGGAUCAGAUCGGUUCAGACCGGCCCGGGUCGGAUCAGUCUGGACCCGGAGCCGGAGUUAUCUCUGGGUGAACAGGGCUCCCAAUGUGAUCCCAGCUGCUCCCAGUACAGCCAGUCCAAACACUGUCCUCAGAGACCAGAAACUGGCUGGAGGUCUGGACUCGCCGUACAACUCCACAAAGGCAUCCUGGGUAAUCAGAGAGAGGAGGGGGGGGGCACUGAAUCAUUCACAAAUGAAACAACAAAGCAACAUAACAGUAAUAUCAGGACCUAUCUGUGGGGUUCCUCAGGGUUCUGGUCUAAGCUCAAGAAAUGUUUCAGUUUGUUUUCAGCAGAAGAAGCUGAAGUUAAACAUCGUUGAUCUUAUUAUCAGUUUGUUUCAUCAUCCAGACCCUCAGAGCAGAUCUGUCACUGUCUCACUCCUUCUCAUUUCUGAACCUUUACCCUGACGUGUUUCAGCCCUGAGCAGCGUCUGCAGGAAGAGCAGCCUCCACCCAGAGGGCGGUGCAGCCUCUGUUUCCUGACGCUCCUUCAGAGGAGACACCGAUCUGACCGACUGUUUCUGUCUGUGUGGUCACAUGACUGACACACCCUCUGUGUGUGUGUGUGUGUGUUGAUGUGGAACAGUCAUGAUGACGAGCGGAGAACCCGUCUGCAGAACAGGUUCCUGAAGGAAACACCUUGUCCUCAUGUGAAAGGUUUCUUCAGGUCUGGAGAGUCCCAGGUGUUGAACCUGUUGGAGGUGGACCUGAGAGCCGCUGACCCACCCUGUGG